ensembl:lncRNA YWHAH-AS1 YWHAH antisense RNA 1
AGGCGUGGGAAGAUGGAACCAGAACAAUUCGAACGAGCAGAGCAAAACAGAUCGGAAUUGCAGACUUCAGGUCGUGGCAGAGAAAACCAGCUGAGACAGGGCGCCACUUACUAGCUCUGAAAGUCUAGGAUAUUUUGCCACUGGAAGACCAGCAGACAAUGUCAUGACAACUCAAGAGGAUACAACAGGGCUGCAUCAAAAGACAAGUCUUUGGACCAUGUCAAGACCUGGAGCGAAGAAGGUUUCAGUAUCAACCUGACUUCUUUUGGAAGGAUCCCUUGGCCUCACGCUGGAGUGGGCACCUGCCCUAGCCCACAGAGCUGGAUUUCUCCCUUUCUUCAAUCACACAGGGAGCACCACUAUGCAAAGACCUCAUCACAUUCACAGCCGUCUCCGCAGAGCCUCGCACUGUGCUUGGCAUAUAGCAGGUGCUCAAUAAAUAUCUGCCAAAUGACUGAAUGCAUCUCGCUAGCCUCAGGAUGCCACCAGGCCCUGAGGGAGCCAGGAAGAUCAGAGGAAAGCUUUUGGAUUCCUGCCACACCUUACAUUAGCAACAUCUUCUCCGAGUCCUGACAGCCAGCCUCCUGGGACACCAUUCAAGCCAGCUGAAUUCCGGUCACCGCUUCACCUUGGAAAGGCAUCCGCAGCCCUCACCAAGCGGCCCCGUAAUUGACGUCACAGCGGGGCCAGGAGCUGCCCUGUUAAUAUUUAAUGUGGCCUUCACUGCGCAAAAUGCAGCCUCUAAGAGCUGGAGGGGCCGUGCAGAGUCUCCAUGGGGUUGUGAGGAGGGCACAGAAGGGAAAGGGCUUUAUAAACCAUAAAGCGCCCAACAGAUGAGCAUUCUGCCGACCCAUUUCAGUCCCUGGCUUAACUCAGAAAGAGCCGGGGCUGCACAUGCCUGCAGUGGGACAAGAAGACUGCUGACCAAGCCCGAACACUAAAUCAAUGGGGGAUUAGGGGCUCCUGGGUACAUUCCAUUGAGACAGCGGGAGAGCAGAGCACUGGUGCCAGCCCAACCUGGACUCCACUCCAGGUUUGCCCCCUGCACAGCUGUGUGACUGGGUCAGCAAGUGCACUGCUGAGCCUCAGUCCCCCUUAUCUGUGAAAUGGGAAUGAUGCUUUCCUUGUAGCACUGCUGUGAAGAUUCAAUGAAACGAGUGAUGCCGAAGACCUAGCUUCACCCAUCGCAGGCUGUCAACACAGGCUGAGACCCUUCUCCAAAACCAGGCCUGGGACCUGAGGUUGGAGAGAGGAGACACGGGGUCCCUUCAGGCAUUCACUGGGCAGAGUGAUGGUGGGAGGGAAGAAGGAGCAAGGAGGCACAGGAAGGAUGACCUGGGAGCCAAGCAUCUCAGGAGUGGACAGUGAAGACCGAACUCCUAAGGUUGUGAUGAGAAUUCAAUGAGAACAUGCAUGCCCAGCACAGCUUCAAGCACACAGAAACAGUAAAACCGAUUGCAGGCUCUGGAUAAAGUGGAUCUACAAGAAAUAACUUCCCAAGGAGGAGUCCUGUAAAUAGCAUGAGUGGACAAAUACGACUCAGGCUGCUUUUUGCCAUGAAAUUGCCAGACAAGGAGGGAUGUCUGUUUCAGAGUCCUGGGCCAGGGGAGUGAAAUCACACAGUUACCUGCAUGCAGAGCCCAGAGUAGAAGACCUAGCUCCCUUUACCCUGCAACAUGCAAUCUUCUUAAACCAGUCUUCUUAUCCUUGGGUGGGCAGUCAGGGAGCUGUGCACGCCCACACCUCCAACACCCUUUAUUUUGCAAACAUGGGCAUAAAAACAACUGCAAGGGAAAAUGUGUCCCACCCCUUCCCCACUCCCUUCUGGCUUUCUCUCUGUUGCCUGGCAACAGUUUUAUCCAGAAACCUGGGUGUCAUCCUAGAUAACUCCCUCACCCUUAUCCUUCCCACAAAACCCAUGGCCCAAUCAUGUCCAUUUUAUCUCCUAAAUGGCCCUCAAGUCCAUCCACUCCUCCCCUCCCCCCAUCACCUCCCCAGUCCAAGGUUCCAUCAUGAAUUUCCUGGACAUCUACAUUGGCUUCCCACAGGCCUCCGGCUUUCACACUUGCUCAUCCCAUCCCCCGCUUCCAUCUUCUGUAACCACAGCCAAAAUAAUCUCUUAAAAAUACAAAUCUGAUCCUGUCACCUGCUCCUUGCUUAGAACCUCUAAGAAUCAAAAUCAAAAUCUUCAGCAUGCCCAAGAGCACUGCAUGGUCAGGCCUACUUCCCAACUUUAUCUUGCCCUGUGCGUGCCCUUCCCUCUCUUCCUGAACAUUUUUUCCUCCCCAAUUCUUCUACUUAAUCCUGCUUACCCUGUAGUUCUCAGUUCUAUGGUCACUUGGAGAGCCUUUGCUGACCUUCAUGACUAGGUCAGAUUGCCCUGUGAUGGACUCUCCUAGCACCAUGUGCCCUUUAUGUCUGUAGCACUUAUCAUUGUCACAAUUUUACCCUUAUUUACUAUUAUUUGAUUUAUAUCUGCAAGCCCUGCCUCACU